UACGGAGGGUGCAAGCGUUAUCCGGAUUCACUGGGUUUAAAGGGUGCGUAGGCGGGCAGGUAAGUCCGUGGUGAAAUCUCCGAGCUUAACUCGGAAACUGCCAUGGAUACUAUUUGUCUUGAAUGUUGUGGAGGUGAGCGGAAUAUGUCAUGUAGCGGUGAAAUGCUUAGAUAUGACAUAGAACACCAAUUGCGAAGGCAGCUCACUACACAAAUAUUGACGCUGAGGCACGAAAGCGUGGGGAGUC
rnacentral:rRNA from 1 species